GACGAACGCUGGCGGCGUGCCUAAUACAUGCAAGUAGAACGCUGAAGGGAGGAGCUUGCUCUUCUUGGAUGAGUUGCGAACGGGUGAGUAACGCGUAGGUAACCUGCCUUGUAGCGGGGGAUAACUAUUGGAAACGAUAGCUAAUACCGCAUAACAAUGGAUGACACAUGUCAUUUAUUUGAAAGGGGCAAUUGCUCCACUACAAGAUGGACCUGCGUUGUAUUAGCUAGUAGGUGAGGUAAUGGCUCACCUAGGCGACGAUACAUAGCCGACCUGAGAGGGUGAUCGGCCACACUGGGACGGAGACACGGCCCAGACUCCUACGGGAGGCAGCAGUAGGGAAUCUUCGGCAAUGGGGGCAACCCUGACCGAGCAACGCCGCGUGAGGGAAGAAGGUUGUCGGAUCGUAAAGCUCUGUUGUAAGUCAAGAACGGGUGUGAGAGUGGAAAGUUCACACUGUGACGGUAGCUUACCAGAAAGGGACGGCUAACUACGUG
rnacentral:rRNA from 1 species